rnacentral:rRNA from 1 species
CCUACGGGAUGCAGCAGUGAGGAAUAUUGGUCAAUGGGCGGAAGCCUGAACCAGCCAAGUAGCGUGCAGGAUGACGGCCCUACGGGUUGUAAACUGCUUUUAUACGGGAAUAACGCGCCUUACGUGUAGGGCUUUGCAUGUACCGUAUGAAUAAGGACCGUCUAAUUCCGGGCCAGCAGCAGCGGUAAUACGGAAGGUCCGGGCGUUAUCCGGAUUUCUUGGGUUUAAAGGGAGCGUAGGCCGCAUGUCAAGCGUGCUGUGAAAUGUCCGGGCUCAACCAGGGCCUUGCAGCGCGAGCUGGCGUGCUUGAGUCCGCGGAAAGCAGGCGGAAUUCGUCGUGUAGCGGUGCAAUGCUUAGAUAUGACGAAGAACCCCGAUUGCGAAGGCAGCUUGCUGCAGCGGAACUGACGCUGAUGCUCGAAAGCGCGGGUAUCGAACAGGAUUAGAUACCCGGGUAGUC